CGCGCGCUGGGGGGCGGGGUGGUGGUGCCGCCGCGCUACGACCGGGGCGACUGGCAGGAGGGCGACGGCGUGUUCAACGCCGGCGCGCUCGCC
rnacentral:tRNA from 1 species